rnacentral:rRNA from 1 species
GAUGAACGCUAGCUACAGGCUUAACACAUGCAAGUCGAGGGACCGGCGCACGGGUGUGUAACACGUAUCCCACCUGCCCUUUACUCGGGGAUAGCCUUUCGAAAGAAAGAUUAAUACCCGAUCUAAAGGAUGGGGAUGCGUUCCAUUAGGUUGUGGGUAAGGUAACAGCUCACCAAGCCUUCGAUGGCUGGGGGUUCUGAGAGGAAGGUACACUACAUUGGAGAUGAGACACGGUCCAAACUCCUACGGGAGGCAGCAGUGAGGAAUACUGGUCAAUGGACGCUAGUCUGAACAAGCCAAGUAGAGUGAAGGAUGAAUGCGUAUGAGUCGAAAUCUUCCUUGAAAUAAGAAUAGGUAUUAUAUGAAUAAGGAUCGGCUAACUCCGUGCCAGCAGCCGCGGUAAUUC